CUAGAGGCUUGUAGAACAUUCUGAACCUCUCUGCCAAGGGGGACACUGACAAACUGGAUGCCACCACUUCCUGCUGGUUACAUCUCUUCAGAAAUACGAAAUUUCUAGUGGCUGACUACUGUGAAUUCUUGCUACAAUCCCCCUGGAACUUUUUAGAAGAUGAACAGCUGGGCCUUGUUGUGUGCAAUCUUUCUGUCCUCAAAGCUGUUGGACCUAACUAGAUUCGGGCUCAUCUUUGACAAUUAAGCAUCUGACUUCGGCUCAGGUCAUGAGUGCACCGUUCGUGAGUUCGAGUCCCACAUCGGGUGAGCACGAGCCCUGCUUCAGGUACAACAUGAGUCCCCAGGUUCCAGAGAGCUUCCAUAUCUGCCGUCAACGGAGAUGCAGAGAGUAUGAUGGAAACAGGUUAAGUGACUUCGUUCCGAGGUAACGACCAGCGAGAGGCAGAGCUGAGCCACCAGCCAGACCACCAGACUCAGGCCAGCACCCCCCUCCUCCAUAUGGUGGGAGGCACACUCUUCAAUGCACAAGAAGCCGCUUCAAAAACACCCAUUUAUUUGAUGUAAGUACCAACAGGAUCCAGUGCAGACAGACCUUUCCCGUCGGCCUUUGGCAGACCACCAGAGAAGUCAGGGGUCACACUUCUGUGCCCAAUCAGGUCAACCUCCGGCUCUUGUAAACGUCCAUUACAGCUAACCACCCUCUAAAAAGGCUUAGUAUAAACAAAGACAAAUUUUUAAAACACAAGAAGAGUGCAGUCUCAGAGAAGUUACCACCCAGACAAAAAGGAAGAUGCAACCCAAGUUUCCAGAGAUCAGAAUUUCAAAUUAAUUUCCAGUACAUCUUAGCAACACAAGAGUGAGGUUUUCGAGAAGGAAUGGCCAAAGCAGGAAACACCGACAAAUAAAUCCAUACACUAGCAGGUGUCAUAUAAAACAUCGACUUCCAAAAGCAAGCCCAUCACCUGUAUACCUGUCAUUGGCCAAAAGGUGACUACAGUACAAAUGAGCUUCAUAUAAAACGCUUCAUAAUAAGCCUAUCAUAUAUUCCCACCAAAAAAGCC